AGGAAUAGUUUUAUUCCCAUGAGGUUGGCCAUUUAAAUUCAUACUAUAUUUGGCUUAGAUUGAUUCUCAGUUAUUGUCAUAAUAAGUUUCUUGUUUAUAUGAUGCACAGCGAAAUGAAAAUGGUCAGUUGUUACUGUGGAAUCAGAUAGCUACUGAAAAUUCAGGCAUGCCAAUAGGUUCCUUUCUUGGACCUUCUCUUUUUCUCAAUUGAUAAAUCUCAGAGUGUCUUUUCAGUGCCUCCACAUUUUCAGCUCGAACACAAAUAAGUUUCCAGUAUAAUGUCCUAUUGCGCUUCAUCCCAACUUGCUUCCUCUUCUUCUUAUAAUUAUGCUUUCUCCUAUCUCCAUGAUUAUUGAUGACAUCUCACUCUCCUGGAUUAUUUUCUUAACUGUUCUAACCAAAUCUUGUAAGACUGAGAUCAAUUUUCACCUCUUUCCUAAAGCCAUGCAUGUCCUUCCCCAAACUUCAGCCUGAAAUAGUAUUUCCAGUUUAUGAAUAGUACUUCUAGCAUUUAUUCAGGAGUGAAUUAUGUCUAUAUCUUAUAUUAUUUAAAAUAUCUUAAAAACUUUUACACCUACUUACACUUCUAGUUUAACACUUAUCUAACUUUAUUAGAGGGUGCAGCUUGAAGGCAUACUUACUGUUAUGGGCUGAAUCGUGUUACCCAAAACUCAUAUUGAGGUCCUAACUCCUAGUAUCUCCGAAUGUGACUGUAUUUGAAGAUAAGCGUUGUCAAGAGGUAAUUAAGUUAAAACAGUGUCGUUACAUUGGGCCUUAACCAAUAUGACUAGUGUCUUUAUGAGAAGGGGAAAUUAGAAGGUAGACACACGCAGAGAAAAGACCAUGUGAAGACACGGGAGAAGACCGCCAUGCACUACCCAAGGAAAGAGACCUCAGAAGAUACCAACCUUGAUGAUCUUGAACUUCUAGAUCACACUCUGCAGCAAGAAGAUUUGAAAUUCAUGAGCUUUGCAACAUCUUCACAUCAGGACAAAUAACCCCCCUGCUGUUGAAAUCACUUGCAUAAUUUAUAACGUUCAAAAUUGGAAUUGCAUCAUUGCCUCCUUUGCAAUUACCCUGUAGUCAAGCCUUUCACCUUACUGAAAGGUCUUUAAUUUUUCUUGAUUUUUAAGCAUUUCUCAAUUUCUAAUGGGCUCAUUUGAAUGGCUUGGGAUGCUACAAAAAUCUAUUCUUAUCUAUAUAAUAGUUUAGAAGUAUAACUAUAUCCAGAUUAUGUUCAAAG
rnacentral:lncRNA from 10 species